UACAGAGGGGGCAAGCGUUGUUCGGAAUUACUGGGCGUAAAGGGCGCGUAGGCGGCCUUCUAAGUCGAACGUGAAAUCCCCGGGCUCAACCCGGGAACUGCGUCCGAUACUGGAAGGCUUGAAUCCGGGAGAGGGAUGCGGAAUUCCAGGUGUAGCGGUGAAAUGCGUAGAUAUCUGGAAGGAACACCGGUGGCGAAGGCGGCAUCCUGGACCGGUAUUGACGCUGAGGCGCGAAAGCCAGGGGAGCAAACGGG
rnacentral:rRNA from 1 species